GAUGAAGAACGCAGCGAAAUGCGAUAAGUAAUGUGAAUUGCAGAAUUCAGUGAAUCAUCGAAUCUUUGAACGCACAUUGCGCCCCCUGGUAUUCCGGGGGGCAUGCCUGUCCGAGCGUCAUUACAACCCUCAAGCUCAGCUUGGUGUUGGGCCCCGCCGCCCCGGCGGGCCCUAAAGUCAGUGGCGGUGCCGUCCGGCUCCGAGCGUAGUAAUUCUUCUCGCUCUGGAGGUCCGGUCGUGUGCUCGCCAGCAACCCCCAAUUUUUUUCAGGUUGACCUCGGAUCAGGUAGGGAUACCCGCUGAACUUAAGCAUAUCAAUGAGCGGAGGA
rnacentral:misc_RNA from 1 species